CAGCAGCCGCGGUAAUACAGAGGGUGCGAGCGUUAAUCGGAUUUACUGGGCGUAAAGCGUGCGUAGGCGGCUUCUUAAGUCGGAUGUGAAAUCCCUGAGCUUAACUUAGGAAUUGCAUUCGAUACUGGGAAGCUAGAGUAUGGGAGAGGAUGGUAGAAUUCCAGGUGUAGCGGUGAAAUGCGUAGAGAUCUGGAGGAAUACCGAUGGCGAAGGCAGCCAUCUGGCCUAAUACUGACGCUGAGGUACGAAAGCAUGGGGAGCAAACAGGAUUAGAUACCCCAGUAGUCUCUGUCUCUUAUAC
rnacentral:rRNA from 1 species